ensembl:misc_RNA Y_RNA Y RNA
GGCUGGUCCGAUGGUAGUGGGUUAUCAGAACUUAUUAACAUUAGUGUCACUAAAGUUGGUAUACAACCCCCCACUGCUAAAUUUGACUGGCUUAAA